rnacentral:rRNA from 1 species
UACGAAUGGGGCAAGCGUUGUUCGGAAUCACUGGGCUUAAAGCGUGCGCAGGCGGCUUGUAAAGUCAGAUGUGAAAUCCCGGGGCUCAACCCCGGAAUUGCAUUUGAAACUCACAAGCUAGAAUAUGGGAGAGGUUAGCGGAAUUCCGAGUGUAGCAGUGAAAUGCGCAGAUAUUCGGAGGAACACCAGUGGCGAAGGCGGCUAACUGGACCAUUAUUGACGCUCAGGCACGAAAGCGUGGGGAGCAAACAGG